UUUGAUCCUGGCUCAGAACGAACGCUGGCGGCAGGCCUAACACAUGCAAGUCGAACGAACCUUCGGGUGAGUGGCGCACGGGUGCGUAACACGUGGGAAUCUACACAUAGGUAAGGAAUAACACAGAGAAAUUUGUGCUAAUACCUUAUAAUGACUCCGGUCCAAAGAUUUAUCGCCUAAGAAUAAGCCCGCGUUAGAUUAGUUUGUUGGUGAGGUAACGGCUCACCAAGACGACGAUCUAUAGCUGGUCUGAGAGGAUGAUCAGCCACACUGGAACUGAGACACGGUCCAGACUCCUACGGGAGGCAGCAGUGAGGAAUAUUGGACAAUGGGCGAAAGCCUGAUCCAGCCAUGCCGCGUGAGUGAAGAAGGCCUUAGGGUUGUAAAACUCUUUCAGAUGCGAAGAUAAUGACGGUAACAUCAGAAGAAGCUCCGGCUAACUUCGUGCCAGCAGCCGCGGUAAUACGAAUGGGGCGAGCGUUGUUCGGAAUCAUUGGGCGUAAAGCGUAUGUAGGCGGACUAGAAAGUCGAAAGUGAAAGCCCAGGGCUCAACCCUGGAAUUGCUUCCGAAACUUUUAGUCUAGAGUCCCGGAGAGGUUAGGGGAAUUCCGAGUGUAGAGGUGAAAUUCGCAGAUAUUCGGAGGAACACCAGUGGCGUAGGCGCCUAACUGGACGGGAACUGACGCUCAGAUACGAAAGCGUGGGUAGCAAACAGGAUUAGAUACCCUGGUAGUCCACGCCGUAAACGAUGUGUGCUAGUUGUCGGGCCCUUAGGGCUCGGUGACGCCGCUAAAUCAUUAAGCAUACCGCCUGGGGAGUACGGUCGCAAGACUAAAACUCAAAGGAAUUGACGGGGACCCGCACAAGCGGUGGAGCAUGUUGUUUAAUUCGAAGCAACGCGAAGAACCUUACCUACACUUGACAUACUAGUCGGGACUUUCAGAGAUGAUUGUCUUCGGUUCGGCCGGACUAGAUACAGGUGCUGCAUGGCUGUCGUCAGCUCGUGUCGUGAGAUGUUGGGUUAAGUCCCGCAACGAGCGCAACCCUUAUCGUAUGUUACCAUCAUUUAGUUGGGGACUCAUGCGAGACUGCCGGUGAUAAGCCGGAGGAAGGCGGGGACGACGUCAAGUCAUCAUGGCCCUUACGUGUGGGGCUACAAACGUGCUACAAUGGUAACGACAAUGGGCAGCCACUCCGCGAGGAGGCGCUAAUCUCCAAACGUUAUCUCAGUUCGGAUUGUUCUCUGCAACUCGAGAGCAUGAAGUUGGAAUCGCUAGUAAUCGUGCAUCAGCAUGUCACGGUGAAUACGUUCCCGGGUCUUGUACACACCGCCCGUCACCUCAUGGGAGUUGGUUCUACCCGAAG
rnacentral:rRNA from 1 species